rnacentral:rRNA from 1 species
GAUGAACGCUGGCGGCGUGCCUAAUACAUGCAAGUCGAGCGAACGGACGAGAAGCUUGCUUCUCUGAUGUUAGCGGCGGACGGGUGAGUAACACGUGGAUAACCUACCUAUAAGACUGGGAUAACUUCGGGAAACCGGAGCUAAUACCGGAUAAUAUUUUGAACCGCAUGGUUCAAAAGUGAAAGACGGUCUUGCUGUCACUUAUAGAUGGAUCCGCGCUGCAUUAGCUAGUUGGUAAGGUAACGGCUUACCAAGGCAACGAUGCAUAGCCGACCUGAGAGGGUGAUCGGCCACACUGGAACUGAGACACGGUCCAGACUCCUACGGGAGGCAGCAGUAGGGAAUCUUCCGCAAUGGGCGAAAGCCUGACGGAGCAACGCCGCGUGAGUGAUGAAGGUCUUCGGAUCGUAAAACUCUGCUAUUAGGGAAGAACAUAUGUGUAAGUAACUGUGCACAUCUUGACGGUACCUAAUCAGAAAGCCACGGCUAACCACGUGCCAGCAGCCGCGGUAAUACGUAGGUGGCAAGCGUUAUCCGGAAUUAUUGGGCGUAAAGCGCGCGUAGGCGGUUUUUUAGUCUGAUGUGAAAGCCCACGGCUCAACCGUGGAGGGUCAUUGGAAACUGGAAAACUUGAGUGCAGAAGAGGAAAGUGGAAUUCCAUGUGUAGCGGUGAAAUGCGCAGAGAUAUGGAGGAACACCAGUGGCGAAGGCGACUUUCUGGUCUGUAACUGACGCUGAUGUGCGAAAGCGUGGGGAUCAAACAGGAUUAGAUACCCUGGUAGUCCACGCCGUAAACGAUGAGUGCUAAGUGUUAGGGGGUUUCCGCCCCUUAGUGCUGCAGCUAACGCAUUAAGCACUCCGCCUGGGGAGUACGACCGCAAGGUUGAAACUCAAAGGAAUUGACGGGGACCCGCACAAGCGGUGGAGCAUGUGGUUUAAUUCGAAGCAACGCGAAGAACCUUACCAAAUCUUGACAUCCUUUGACAACUCUAGAGAUAGAGCCUUCCCCUUCGGGGGACAAAGUGACAGGUGGUGCAUGGUUGUCGUCAGCUCGUGUCGUGAGAUGUUGGGUUAAGUCCCGCAACGAGCGCAACCCUUAAGCUUAGUUGCCAUCAUUAAGUUGGGCACUCUAAGUUGACUGCCGGUGACAAACCGGAGGAAGGUGGGGAUGACGUCAAAUCAUCAUGCCCCUUAUGAUUUGGGCUACACACGUGCUACAAUGGACAAUACAAAGGGCAGCGAAACCGCGAGGUCAAGCAAAUCCCAUAAAGUUGUUCUCAGUUCGGAUUGUAGUCUGCAACUCGACUACAUGAAGCUGGAAUCGCUAGUAAUCGUAGAUCAGCAUGCUACGGUGAAUACGUUCCCGGGUCU